rnacentral:rRNA from 1 species
UACGUAGGGUGCAAGCGUUAUCCGGAAUUAUUGGGCGUAAAGAGCUCGUAGGCGGUUUGUCGCGUCUGCCGUGAAAGUCCGGGGCUCAACUCCGGAUCUGCGGUGGGUACGGGCAGACUAGAGUGCAGUAGGGGAGACUGGAAUUCCUGGUGUAGCGGUGAAAUGCGCAGAUAUCAGGAGGAACACCGAUGGCGAAGGCAGGUCUCUGGGCUGUAACUGACGCUGAGGAGCGAAAGCAUGGGGAGCGAACAGG